rnacentral:rRNA from 1 species
UACAGAGGGCCCGAGCGUUGCGCGGAUUUACUGGGCUUAAAGGGUGCGUAGGCGGAAACUUAAGUGUCUCGUGAAAUCCCACGGCUCAACCGUGGAAUUGCGGGGCAUACUGGGUUUCUUGAGGCUGGUAAGCGCCGCCGGAACUGUAGGUGUAGCGGUGAAAUGCGUAGAUAUCUACAGGAACGCCUAAGGUGAAGACGGGCGGCUGGGCCAGUUCUGACGCUGAGGCACGAAAGCGUGGGGAUCAAACAGG